UCUUGGCUGACAGUGGUGCCUGCUAAUUUCCACUGCAAGGAUUUCGUCCACGAAUGUUAUCAUAGGUUACGCGCGACUCCAGAGGCAAUUUGGAAUCUCGACACGAAAUCGUCUGAUGAAAAUCUGAGGUGCCCGACGCACAACAUUUUGAACGUGCCACGGAGGAUCAAGGCAAAAAACGAGAGCAAAAAAGGUGCACGCUGAAGGCGGAAAUGAAGCAUGAUCUGGCUUGCAUCUGGUGCAUGAAGAAAUUGCUGACACGUUAGUUGCAGUCUACCUCCACCAACAGGGUGGAAAACAAAGGUCGCCAUUCCGAUUAGCUGCUAUCUCCCA